GCAAGUCGAGCGCACUCUUCGGAGUGAGCGGCGGACGGGUUAGUAACGCGUGGGAACAUACCCUUCUCUACGGAAUCGCCUCGUGAAACUGAGAGUCAUACCGUAUACGCCCUUCGCGGGAAAGAUUUAUCGGAGAUGGAUUGGCCCGCGUUAGAUUAGAUAGUUGGUGGGGUAAUGGCCUACCAAGUCUACGAUCUAUAGCUGGUUUGAGAGGAUGAUC
rnacentral:rRNA from 1 species